rnacentral:rRNA from 1 species
UACGGGGGGAGCAAGCGUUGUUCGGAUUUACUGGGCGUAAAGGGCGCGUAGGCGGCCACCGCAAGUCGACUGUGAAAUCUCCGGGCUUAACCCGGAAAGGUCAGCCGAUACUGCGGGGCUAGAGUGCAGAAGGGGCAACUGGAAUUCUCGGUGUAGCGGUGAAAUGCGUAGAUAUCGAGAGGAACACCAGAGGUGAAGACGGGUUGCUGGGCUGACACUGACGCUGAGGCGCGAAAGCCAGGGGAGCAAACGGG